AUUGAACGCUGGCGGCAUGCUUUACACAUGCAAGUCGAACGGCAGCACGGGAGCUUGCUCCUGGUGGCGAGUGGCGAACGGGUGAGUAAUGCAUCGGAACGUACCCAGUAGUGGGGGAUAGCCCGGCGAAAGCCGGAUUAAUACCGCAUAUUUCCUGAGGGAGAAAGCGGGGGACCUUCGGGCCUCGCGCUACUGGAGCGGCUGAUGUCGGAUUAGCUAGUUGGUGAGGUAAAGGCUCACCAAGGCGACGAUCCGUAGCUGGUCUGAGAGGAUGAUCAGCCACACUGGGACUGAGACACGGCCCAGACUCCUACGGGAGGCAGCAGUGGGGAAUUUUGGACAAUGGGGGCAACCCUGAUCCAG
rnacentral:rRNA from 1 species